UUCGUUGUAGCUCAGUGGAAGAGCGUUCCGGGAUAAACCAGGAAAGGUCGUGAGUUCAAUUCUCAUCAGCGGCA
rnacentral:tRNA from 1 species